AUACUUACCUGGACGGGGUCAAUGGGUGAUCAAAAUGGCCCAUGGCCUAGGUUGACAACUUCCAUUGCACUUAGGUGGGGUGUCCGCCUAAGGUCUACCCAAGUUGGUGGAACCUACGUCAUAAUUUGUGUUAGCGGGGGCCUGCGUUCGCGCGGCCCCUA